rnacentral:lncRNA from 1 species
AGGUCUGCUGUCCAAUGGAGAUAGAGGUCCCGGUGUCUAACGGAAGGGGAGUGUCCAUUGCAACCUUGAAAUAGCGCGUAUCUGUGCAAACAGAAAAAUAUGAAAGUCAUACCUUAUGUGGACUCAGCACAUUACAAUUUACAAAGUAUUUGCACAUCUACAAACUCAUUGGAUCAUUACAAUGUGAUGUGCUGAGCCAUAGGUAGAGCCCAGUACCCAGGACAAAGCAAAGCAAAGCUGCUAGUAUGUGUACUCCAGGAAGUUUCACCAUUGACACAGUAAAGGGAGAGAAGGUGUCUCGGUUCUGGAACUGUACAGCCAGUGAGCUCUGAGCUGGAGCUCGGGCAGGAGAAUCCUUUGGGGAUUUGACAGAUGGGUAUUUGUGCAAAGGUGCCAUUUACAUACUGUUACGGCCAUCACCAAGGCCCUCUAGGGCAUAGCCUCUUGGGGGAAGUCUUGGACCUGCUGGAAGAACUGGGAUGUGAGCCUGAACCCAUUUUCCAACUUUCCACCCAAUACCUUUGCUAGACUUGGUAGAGUCAGGACAUGAUAAGAAGUCUGGGAAGAACAACCAUCACUCCAGG